UGAGAGUUGAUCCUGGCUCAGGAUGAACGCUGGCGGCGUGCUUGAUACAUGCAAGUCGAACGCACUUGUUAGGUACUCAAGCGCCGGAAGGCGCGGCGGGCGAGAAAUCGUCCCAAGCGUUGGAAGGCGUAGCGGUAUUGAUGCAAGUGAGUGGCGGACGGGUGAGUAACACGUGGGUUAUCUGCCUCAAAGUGUGGUAUAACCAUCCGAAAGGAUGGCUAAUCCCGCAUGUGGUCCGAUUCGUAAAGAGUCGGAAGAAAGGCCCUUCGGGGUCGCUUUGAGAUGAGCCCGCGGCCGAUUAGCUAGUUGGUGGGGUAAAGGCCUACCAAGGCAACCAUCGGUAGCUGGUCUGAGAGGAUGAUCAGCCACACUGGGAUUGACAACGGCCCAGACUCCUACGGGAGGCAGCAGUAAGGAAUAUUGCACAAUGGGGGAAACCCUGAUGCAGCGACGCCGCGUGGGUGAAGAAGGCCUUCGGGUUGUAAAACCCUUUUCCGGGGGAUGAGGAAGGACAGUACCCCGGGAAUAAGCCUCGGCCAACUACGUGCCAGCAGCCGCGGUAAGACGUAGGAGGCAAGCGUUAUCCGGAUUUACUGGGCGUAAAGGGCAAGUAGGCGGUUGCCAAAGUUGGGCGUGACAUCUCCUGGCUUAACUAGGAGGGGCCGUCCAAUACUGGGUGACUUGAGGACAGAAGAGGGAAGUGGAACUCCCAAUGUAGCGGUGGAAUGCUCAGAUAUUGGGAAGAACACCAGUGGCGAAGGCGGCUUCCUGGUCUGAUCCUGACGCUGAGAGGCGAAAGCUAGGGUAGCAAA
rnacentral:rRNA from 1 species